rnacentral:rRNA from 1 species
UACACUCCUGCGGGAGGCAGCAGUGGGGAAUAUUGGACAAUGGGCGCAAGCCUGAUCCAGCCAUGCCGCGUGAGUGAUGAAGGCCCUAGGGUUGUAAAGCUCUUUCACCGGUGAAGAUAAUGACGGUAACCGGAGAAGAAGCCCCGGCUAACUUCGUGCCAGCAGCCGCGGUAAUACGAAGGGGGCUAGCGUUGUUCGGAUUUACUGGGCGUAAAGCGCACGUAGGCGGACUAUUAAGUCAGGGGUGAAAUCCCGGGGCUCAACCCCGGAACUGCCUUUGAUACUGGUAGUCUUGAGUUCGAGAGAGGUGAGUGGAAUUCCGAGUGUAGAGGUGAAAUUCGUAGAUAUUCGGAGGAACACCAGUGGCGAAGGCGGCUCACUGGCUCGAUACUGACGCUGAGGUGCGAAAGCGUGGGGAGCAAACAGGAUUAGAAACCCGGGUAGUCCCAU